rnacentral:rRNA from 1 species
AUUGAACGCUGGCGGCAGGCCUAACACAUGCAAGUCGGACGGUAACAGGAAGCAGCUUGCUGCUUUGCUGACGAGUGGCGGACGGGUGAGUAAUGUCUGGGAAACUGCCUGAUGGAGGGGGAUAACUACUGGAAACGGUAGCUAAUACCGCAUAACGUCUUCGGACCAAAGAGGGGGACCUUCGGGCCUCUUGCCAUCAGAUGUGCCCAGAUGGGAUUAGCUUGUUGGUGGGGUAACGGCUCACCAAGGCGACGAUCCCUAGCUGGUCUGAGAGGAUGACCAGCCACACUGGAACUGAGACACGGUCCAGACUCCUACGGGAGGCAGCAGUGGGGAAUAUUGCACAAUGGGCGCAAGCCUGAUGCAGCCAUGCCGCGUGUAUGAAGAAGGCCUUCGGGUUGCAAAGUACUUUCAGCGGGGAGGAAGGGGGAAUGGUUAAUAACCAUUGUCAUUGACGUUACCCGCAGAAGAAGCACCGGCUAACUCCGUGCCAGCCGCCGCCGUAAUAC